rnacentral:lncRNA from 1 species
UUGCAGAAUGGAAAACUCUGAUGCAGAAUGAAGAAUUUGAUAGGUAGAAUGAAAAAAUCUGAUGCAAAGUGAAGACUUUGAGAUGCAAAAUGAAAAACUCUGAUGCAGAGUAAAGAACUUGAGAUGCAUAAUGUGUUUAAAUAGCCAAAGUUGUUAGAAAUUCAUCCUCAAAUUACUUUGAAAUUCACUUCAAAUUGAUUUGAAAUGCAAAAAUAGUUAGAGGUUAGUUAGCUAGCUUAUCUGUCAGUUAGAAAUUCUCACUGAGUUAGUUGUUAGUAAUGAAAAUUCUAAUUAUUUGUUAUGCAGUUAGUUUCAAUUAUGUUAAUUAUUAUUCAAUUGUUGAUUUGCUAUUGGAAAUUAGUUGAAAUUCUCAUUAGCUUUGAAAUAAAUAGUUAGUGUGAAGAAGACUAGAUUUUUGAAACUGAUUAGUUGAAAAUUAGUUUUGUUUUGUUAAUUUGAAAUGGAUACUGAGUUGGUAUAACGAUUGCAGGGACAUGAAUCAAUUUUGCAGGGUACUUUCUUGUUGUGGAUAUGUUAUGUUUGGAUUGAUAACCUUUGAAUUGUCGUACAUUGGUCGGGCUAACAUUGACGAACGACUUUGGUGGGAACUAAUGUAACUUUAUUGUUUUUGGGCUUCAAUGUUACUUGUUUAUUGCAGCUACAUUCUUAUGCUGCAAGAUUGUAGAAUUGACGCUUAUAACUGUUGGUGUAAACCCUAGAGACCAAUACUUUUUCUUUAUUAUGUUUGUUUAAUAAAGUCCAUAGAAUAGAUAAUCCGUUUAAUGUAUCAAGUGUGACCUAAUCAUGAGAUCACAUUAAACAUAAGGACAUUAUUCUUAAAGUAUCCGUAGUCGAGUUUUAUUGUGAAGUGGGAUAACAUUAAAGCAU